UUGACUCAAAGAAGAUUGAGGGCAAGCUGGCUACUCAACCUGCUGAAUGGGCUGGUUUCUAACUUAUUUGGUGAGGUUGUAUCAUCCUGGGCACUUCUGGCAAUAAGAGAUGAGAAUAGGUAAAAAAGCAAAACAAAAAGGGAUUCAUGGCUUUCUGGGCAUGAUUAUGCUUGUAAGUAUUGAGUGUUUGCCUUAUGCAAUAGAAUACAACAUCUGCAUAAGUUCCCUGGUUUCCAUGGACUACUUACAAACUUGUACUGUUCUAAAUGCCUCGAUUUUCAGGUCGGAAAAAUAAUAAUUUCUUUUAAUAUUGUCCUGUCUGUGACCUUAUCCUUCUAUUUUGCCAUCUAUUUUUGUUUAAUCUAUGAACUUCUUGUAUCAUAUUUCAUUUGCAUUUGUUACAUGCAUAAAUCUCUUUAUUAGAUAGUUGUUGUACUUGUUUCUGUGCCAAUUUUGAUGGUCUUGAGCCCAAACAACACCCACUGUCUCUUAAGACUAUAAAUGGUCAUCGUAACAUUUUAUUUGGUAUUGAAGUGGUGUCAGGUAGAGGGGUGGAUUCUUCAUCCAGGUUUUAUGUUACUGCUUUUAGAAAAUUAUUAGUCAAAUGAGUUUUUGGACUGUCUUUAGCUAUUUUGGACUGUCUAAAUGCAUUAGCUGGACAAUCGAAUGGUGGUUACUUAUCUAACAGAUGUUGUUUUACUAGACCAUGGAAUGAAAGAAAACUCAAUCCUCUCAUCCGUAAUUCAGAACCAUCUAAAGCCUGGCCAUGGAAUAAGCUCAAGCCUUUCUGUACAGAGCAGCUGGACUCUCUCAAAUUUUUUAUUUGUAAAUAUCCAAAGGUGACUUUUCCCAGUGGAGGAAUUGGAGAGGGGAGAUUCCUGGGUGCUGAACUAUUGAUGUUCAUUGCUCUGUUCAAGAAGAACAAGAAACUAUUGAACCCCAGCAUUGAGCUGAUGCUUCAUAACGUGUUAUUAUAAGAGACAUAGGCUGCCCGAGUUGUCUGAAUAUACCCCAUAGUCCCUCUGAUGCCUGUGAGUGUUCUAGUCUGGUUGCUUAUCAGAAGCUUUCCCAGUCCAAGUUUGCAACUUUGGCUGUAAAAGAAUCAUCCAAGAGUUGUGUUCUGAGGGCUUUCGGGCGCCUCCAGAAAGGAAGCUUGAUAAAGAGCCAUUGUGCAUAAAAAAAAAACACCAGUAGUCAGUGUUCACCCUCACAACAGUAACGCAGCAAGUGUCCUUGAUUCUUAUGGUGAGUUUGGCCCAUCACAUUCACUUCUGCUUUGAAUUCUUUCUCAUCUUCUCCCACCACCUUCUCCAACUUUUCAGCAACAGAAUUUCCAGAACCUGAUGGUAAUAUCCCUUUAUAGACAGUGCCAAAGGCUUCUACCAUCGCUUGUACUCAGGAUUCUGUGAUAAAGCUGCAGAUUUUUGAGGUUCAAGCAGUAGAAAACUAGUGAAAUUGCAGCUAGAGAAACGAAGAAGAAGAACGCAGAGGGGCCUAAGAGGACUGAGAGUAUUAGAAUUGCUUUAUUUUGCUUGCAUCUGCCUGAAGUUAGUUCACUGGACUUCAAUAUCUUGAUUAGAGCACUUCUGGAAACAGCAGUUUGAUCCAACCUCCCAUUUGAAAGAGGUAGUCUUUUCCUCCAACAGCUUCCAGUUCCAUUUGCAAACCUCAGGUCCUCAAAAAUAGCAACUGCACAGUAGGCUCCAACACCAAUCCCUGGAUUGGCAAUAUGGUAUUAGUUGGGUGCUUGAAGCUCUCCCAUAUACUGGUAUACAAUUUCCAUCUCCAAGCAUGGCACCAUGCACUGGUUCGCUGCUCACAUUACCAGUCUUUGUCUUCCAUAUAUCUUAGCCUCUAGAGAACAAGCUGUCCAUUGGUGGUAAGCCCAAACUUUUGAUCCUCUUGGCACCAGUUAACUUCCAUUUGCAGUCCAGAUAGCAAGAAGGAAUAGGUCCUCUUCACUUGGAGAGGGUCGGAAUCCAAAUGCAAAAUCACCAGAAAGGCAAAGCCCAUGUGGAGUUUUCAUCAGUGGCAUAGAGAGAUGAACCCAAGCUUAUAUUACCAUAAGCUUGGCUGAUGAGUAACAAGUAGGGGUAGAGAGACAAUGUAUGUAAGUUAUUAUUCACUGCUUUUCUCUGCAUGUUGAUUAAGUUGAAAGAGACUAGCGAAUAUUAUUUUCUUCUAUAAUUGAACAUUCUCUUGUAAUUGAAUAGUGUGAAAGCAAUUUUUUUUUUCUUCUUCAACAAAUGAAUAUUGAGAGCA